ACGGAAGGCAGCAGUAGGGAAUAUUGCACAAUGGGGGAAGCCCUGAUGCAGCAACGCCACGUGUGGGAAGAAGCAUUUCGGUGUGUAAACCACUGUCGUGAGGGAAUAAUGCUUGGUCUCGGCCAAGUUGAAUGUACCUCGAAAGGAAGCACCGGCAAACUUCGUGCCAGCAGCCGCGGUAAUACGAGGGGUGCAAGCGUUGUUCGGAAUCACUGGGCGUAAAGGGAGCGCAGGCGGAGAUGCAAGCAGUCUGUACAAUACCGGGGCCCAACCCCGGACCUGCAGACUGGACUGUCUCUCUUGGAUAGUUCAGGGGCAAGCGGAAUUCCUGGUGUAGCGGUGGAAUGCGUAGAGAUCAGGAAGAACACCGAUGGCGAAGGCAGCUUGCUGGGGACUUAUCGACGCUCAUGCUCGAAAGUGCGGGUAGCAAACAGGAUUAGAUACCCUGGUA
rnacentral:rRNA from 1 species